rnacentral:rRNA from 1 species
GAUGAACGCUGGCGGCGUGCCUAAUACAUGCAAGUCGAGCGAAGAGGGGACGGGUGAGUAACACGUGGAUAACCUCCUAUAAGACUGGGAUAACUUCGGGAAACCGGGGCUAAAACGGAGACUCAAAGAUGGAUCCGCGCUGCAUUAGCUAGUUGGUAAGCUAAAGGCUGACCAAGGCAACGAUGCAUAGCCGACCUGAGAGGGUUAUCGGCCACACUGGAACUGAUACACGGUCCAGACUCCUACGGGAGGCAGCAGUAGGGAAUCUUCCGCAAUGGGCGAAAGCCUGACGGAGCAACGCCGCGUGAGUGAUGAAGGUCUUCGGAUCGUAAAACUCUGUUAUUAGGGAAGCGGUACCUAAUCAGAAAGCCACGGCUAACUACGUGCCAGCCGCCGCGGUAAUUC